rnacentral:rRNA from 1 species
CAAGUCGCACGAGAAAGGGCUUCGGCCCCGGUAAAGUGGCGCACGGGUGCGUAACACGUAGGCAAUCUUUCCUCGGGCGGGGGACAACCUUCCGAAAGGAGGGCUAAUACCGCGUAAGACCACGGCUUCUUCGGAAGCUGCGGUAAUAGCUGGCCUCUUCAUGAAAGCUAGCGCCUGAGAGUGAGCCUGCGGCCCAUCAGCCUGUUGGUAGGGUAAUGGCCUACCAAAGCUACGACGGGUAGCUGGUCUGAGAGGAUGAUCAGCCACACUGGCACUGAAACACGGGCCAGACUCCUACGGGAGGCAGCAGUGGGGAAUCUUGGUCAAUGGGCGAAAGCCUGAACCAGCGACGCCGCGUGAGUGAUGAAGGCCUUCGGGUUGUAAAGCUCUGUGGGGAGGGACGAAAACAGCUUGGGCGAAUAGGCCAGGCUCUUGACGGUACCUCCUUAGCAAGCACCGGCUAACUCUGUGCCAGCAGCCGCGGUAAGACAGAGGGUGCAAACGUUGCUCGGAAUUACUGGGCGUAAAGCGCGUGUAGGCGGACCGGAAAGUCAGAUGUGAAAUCCCUGGGCUCAACCCAGGAACUGCAUUUGAAACUUCCGGCCUUGAGUGACGGAGAGGGAAGCGGAAUUCCUGGUGUAGAGGUGAAAUUCGUAGAUAUCAGGAGGAACACCGGUGGCGAAGGCGGCUUCCUGGACGUCCACUGACGCUGAGACGCGAAAGCGUGGGGAGCAAACAGGAUUAGAUACCCUGGUAGUCCACGCCGUAAACGAUGAGUGCUAGGUGUCGUGGGUUUUGACCCCCGCGGUGCCGUAGCUAACGCAUUAAGCACUCCGCCUGGGAAGUACGGGCCGCAAGGCUAAACUCAAGGAAUUGACGG